UAGGGAUACCCGCUGAACUUAAGCAUAUCAAUAAGCGGAGGAAAAGAAACCAACAGGGAUUACCUCAGUAACGGCGAGUGAAGCGGUAAUAGCUCAAAUUUGAAAUCUGGCUCUUUCAGGGUCCGAGUUGUAAUUUGUAGAGGAUGCUUCAGGUGUGGCUCCGGUCUAAGUUCCUUGGAACAGGACGUCAUAGAGGGUGAGAAUCCCGUAUGUGACUGGAUGCCUUCGCCUAUGUGAAGCUCUUUCGACGAGUCGAGUUGUUUGGGUAUGCAGCUCAAAAUGGGUGGUAAAUUUCAUCUAAAGCUAAAUAUUGGCCAGAGACCGAUAGCGCACAAGUAGAGUGAUCGAAAGACGAAAAGCACUUUGGAAAGGGAGUUAAACAGUACGUGAAAUUGUUGAAAGGGAAGCGCUUGCAACCAGACUUGCACACAGUUGAUCAUCCGGUGUUCUCACCGGUGCACUCUGCUGCGUUCAGGCCAGCAUCGGUUUUGGUGGUUGGAUAAAGGCCUUGGGGAAUGUAGCUUCUUUCGGGGAGUGUUAUAGCCCUCGGUGCAAUGCAGCCUACUGGGACCGAGGACCGCGCUUCGGCUAGGAUGCUGGCGUAAUGGUUGUAAGCGACC
rnacentral:rRNA from 1 species